CUUAUGACCUGGGCUACACACGUGCUACAAUGGACAGAACAAAGGGCUGCGAGACCGCAAGGUUUAGCCAAUCCCAUAAAUCUGUUCUCAGUUCGGAUCGCAGUCUGCAACUCGACUGCGUGAAGCUGGAAUCGCUAGUAAUCGCGGAUCAGCAUGCCGCGGUGAAUACGUUCCCGGGCCUUGUACACACCGCCCGUCACACCACGAGAGUUUGCAACACCCGAAGUCGGUGAGGUAACCUUUAUGGAGCCAGCCGCCGAAGGUGGGGCAGAUGAUUGGGGUGAAGUCGUAACAAG
rnacentral:rRNA from 1 species